rnacentral:rRNA from 1 species
CUACGGGUGGCUGCAGUGAGGAAUAUUGGACAAUGGGCGAAAGCCUGAUCCAGCAAUACCGCGUGAGUGAUGAAGGCCUUAGGGUUGUAAAACUCUUUCAGUAGGGAAGAUAAUGACGGUACCUACAGAAGAAGCACCGGCUAACUCCGUGCCAGCAGCCGCGGUAAUACGGAGGGUGCUAGCGUUGUUCGGAAUUACUGGGCGUAAAGCGCGCGUAGGCGGUUUGACAAGUUGGAAGUGAAAGCCCAGGGCUCAACCUUGGAAUUGCUUUCAAAACUGUCAAACUAGAGUGUGGUAGGGGACAGUGGAAUUCCUAGUGUAGAAGUGAAAUUCGUAGAUAUUAGGAGGAACACCAGAGGCGAAGGCGACUGUCUGGGCCACUACUGACGCUAAGGCGCGAAAGCGUGGGGAGCAAACAGGAUUAGAUACCCUCGUAGUC